UACGUAGGGAGCAAGCGUUGUCCGGAAUCAUUGGGCGUAAAGCGCGCGUAGGUGGCCUCAUAAGUCCGCUGUGAAAGUCAAAGGCUCAACCUUUGAAAGCCGGUGGAUACUGUGAGUCUAGAGUACGGAAGAGGCGAGUGGAAUUCCUGGUGUAGCGGUGGAAUGCGCAGAUAUCAGGAGGAACACCAAUAGCGAAGGCAGCUCGCUGGGACGUUACUGACACUGAGGCGCGAAAGCGUGGGGAGCGAACAGG
rnacentral:rRNA from 1 species